UGAAUGGUGGAACGAGGGCUUAACUGUCUCCCCUUUCAAGUCAAUGAAAUUGAUCUGCCCGUGCAGAAGCGGACAUGUAUUUACAAGACGAGAAGACCCUUUGGAGCUUAAGAUGUAAGAUCAACUAUGUCAAAAACCCAGUUAAACUAAAUAGCACCUGAUCCCAGUCUUCAGUUGGGGCGACCACGGGAGAAAAUAAAGCUCCCACGCGGACCGGGACUCCCCCCAAAACCAAGAGAAACAAUUCUAAGUCGCAGAAUUUCUGACCAAAAGAUCCGGCCACCCGCCGACCAGCGAACCAAGUUACCCUAGGGAUAACAGCGCAAUCCCCUUUCAGAGUCCAUAUCGACAAGGGGGUUUACGACCUCGAUGUUGGAUCAGGACAUCCUAAUGGUGUAG
rnacentral:rRNA from 1 species